GACAGAGGGUACGAGCGUUAAUCAGAAUGAUUGGGCGUAAAGGGCGUGUAGGUGGUAAUUUAGGUUUGGUGUGAAAGCUCUCGGCUCAACCGAGAAAGUGCAUCAAAUACCGGGUUACUAGAGUGAGAGAGAGGGCUGUGGAAUUUUCGGUGUAGCGGUGAAAUGUGUAGAUAUCGAAAGGAACAUCAGUGGCGAAGGCGACAGCCUGGCUCUAAACUGACACUGAGGCGCGAAGGCGUGGGGAGCAAACAGG
rnacentral:rRNA from 1 species